rnacentral:rRNA from 1 species
UACAGAGGUCCCAAGCGUUGUUCGGAUUCACUGGGCGUAAAGGGUGCGUAGGCGGUCGGGUAAGUCUGAUGUGAAAUCUCACAGCUUAACUGUGAAACUGCAUUGGAUACUAUUCGGCUUGAGAGUUGGAGGGGGGACUGGAAUUCUUGGUGUAGCAGUGAAAUGCGUAGAUAUCAAGAGGACCACCAGUGGCGAAGGCGAGUCCCUGGACAACUUCUGACGCUGAGGCACGAAAGCUAGGGGAGCAAACAGG